rnacentral:tRNA from 1 species
GUCCGAGUGCUGGAAUUGGUAGACAGGGUAAACUUAAAAUUUACUGAUGAAAAUCUUGAACGUUCAAUUCGUUUUUCGGAUA